GAUGAACGCUGGCGGCGUGCCUAAUACAUGCAAGUCGAGCGAACGGACGAGAAGCUUGCUUCUCUGAUGUUAGCGGCGGACGGGUGAGUAACACGUGGAUAACCUACCUAUAAGACUGGGAUAACUUCGGGAAACCGGAGCUAAUACCGGAUGAUAUUUUGAACCGCAUGGUUCAAAAGUGAAAGACGGUCUUGCUGUCACUUAUAGAUGGAUCCGCGCUGCAUUAGCUAGUUGGUAAGGUAACGGCUUACCAAGGCAACGAUGCAUAGCCGACCUGAGAGGGUGAUCGGCCACACUGGAACUGAGACACGGUCCAGACUCCUACGGGAGGCAGCAGUAGGGAAUCUUCCGCAAUGGGCGAAAGCCUGACGGGGCAACGCCGCGUGAGUGAUGAAGGUCUUCGGAUCGUAAAUCUCUGUUAUUAGGGAAGAACAUAUGUGUAAGUAACUGUGCACAUCUUGACGGUACCUAAUCAGAAAGCCACGGCUAACUACGUG
rnacentral:rRNA from 1 species